rnacentral:misc_RNA from 1 species
UACGGAGGGUGCAAGCGUUAUCCGGAUUUACUGGGUUUAAAGGGUGCGUAGGCGGCCUUUUAAGUCAGUGGUGAAAGCUUCCCGCUUAACGGGGAAAUUGCCAUUGAAACUGAAAGACUCGAGUGUAGUUGAAGUGGGCGGAAUACAUCAUGUAGCGGUGAAAUGCUUAGAUAUGAUGUAGAACACCAAUUGCGAAGGCAGCUCACUAAGCUAUUACUGACGCUGAGGCACGAAAGCGUGGGGAGCGAACAGG